rnacentral:misc_RNA from 1 species
AGCAAAAUUUAAUAAAGAAUAUGUAGUCACUUCUCAUUAAACUCAUCUAAUAAUCUCCACAUUGCACCAGAAUAACAGAAAGUUGAAUGUUAUUGAACCUAAAAAAAUCCUCCGAAAAAUUUUUUACAACAGAUAUAUGAACACUUUUUGUGUAAAAAGGGCUAGAGAACAUCAUGUUUAUCGCCCCUAUGACAAUGAGUUCUCCCUGUAUGUAUCACCUACCAGAAUUCAGAAUCUU